rnacentral:rRNA from 1 species
GCCUUACGCGGCCGUGAUUCGGCUUAUAAUCCACGUGUCGCUUAAUUUCAUUCACACGUGGGUUAUCUGCCCUAUGGUGGAGGAUAACCCCGGGAAACUGGGGAUAAUACUCCAUAAGUCAGGAGUACUGGAAUGUCUCCUAACUGAAAGUUGCGGCGCCAUAGGAUGAAUCUGCGGCCGAUUAGGUAGUUGUUGGGGUAACGGCCUUACAUUCCCGUAAUCGGUACGGGUUGUGGGAGCAAGAGCCCGGAGAUGGAAUCUGAGACACGAUUCCAGUCAACUAUCUCAUCGCAGCAGGCGCGAAAACUUUACAAUGCAGGGAACUGUUUUUAAGGGAACCCCGAGUGCCCGUACACGCGGGCUGUCCCGGUGUUUAAAACACAUCGGAAGAAAGGGCCGGGCAAGACCGGUGCCAGCCGCCGCGGUAAUACCGGCGGCUCGAGUGGUGACCACUUUUUAUUGGGCUUAAAGCGUUCGUAGCUUGAUUUUUAAGUCUCUUGGGGAAAUCUCACGGCUUAACUGUGAGGCGUCUAAGAGAUACUGGGAAUCUAGGACCGGGAGAGGUAAGAGGUACUUCAGGGGUAGAGUGAAUUCUGUAUCUUUGAGGACCACGAUGCGAGGCAUCUACCAGACGCUUCGCGUGAGACGAAGCUGGGACGAACGGGUAAUACCCGUAUCCAGCCGUACAUUAUGCCCGUUUAAGGGG